AUUGAACGCUGGCGGCAUGCCUUACACAUGCAAGUCGAACGGUAACAGGUCUUCGGAUGCUGACGAGUGGCGAACGGGUGAGUAAUACAUCGGAACGUGCCUAGUAGUGGGGGAUAACUACUCGAAAGAGUGGCUAAUACCGCAUGAGAUCUACGGAUGAAAGCAGGGGAUCGCAAGACCUUGUGCUACUAGAGCGGCCGAUGGCAGAUUAGGUAGUUGGUGGGAUAAAAGCUUACCAAGCCGAAGAUCUGUAGCUGGUCUGAGAGGACGAUCAGCCACACUGGGACUGAGAAACGGCCCAGACUCCUACGGGAGGCAGCAGUGGGGAAUUUUGGACAAUGGGCGCAAGCCUGAUCCAGCAAUGCCGCGUGCAGGAUGAAGGCCUUCGGGUUGUAAACUGCUUUUGUACGGAACGAAAAGCCCUGGGUUAAUACCCUGGGGUCAUGACGGUACCGUAAGAAUAAGCACCGGCUAACUACGUGCCAGCCGCCGCAGUAAAAC
rnacentral:rRNA from 1 species